rnacentral:rRNA from 1 species
UCGCUCCUACCGAUUGGGUGAUCCGGUAAAAAAUUCGGACUGCAGUGACCGCAGGGUUCGCUCUGAGAUCGCCGCGGGAAGUCUUAUGAACCUUAUCACUUAGAGGAAGGAG